GAAAAAAUUGUGUUAAAAUACUGGCCCAUUAUCCAGCAGGAUAGAACAAUAGGGAAGUGUUACCCUAAUAAUCCUAUGUUUAGCUAUAAAAGGGGCGAGUGCAUACGGGACAUAUUAUGCCCAUCUGAAAUUGACCCCCCAAAGAGCAGCACACAAAGAUUUUUGGGAAAACCUAAAAAGGGAACAUUUGCUUGCCUUAAUUGUGUGUGUUGCGCAUCUAUUAUCAAGGGAGAUAGGGUUAAUCACCCCUUAUAUGGCACCCCCUUGUUUUUAAAAAAUUAUGCAACAUGCGACACAUGCAACGUAGUCUACCUACUUAAAUGCCCGUGUGGAAUGGCAUACGUAGGGCAAACUGCUAGGCAAAUAAAAAUACGGAUUAAGGAACAUCGAGGGUAUAUCCGAAAUUAUAAAAAAGACACCUACACAGAUACAGCAGUUGCGAGGCACUUCGCAGAAAUGAAACACAAUGUCAAUCAGUUGAAAUGGCUUGUACUAGAAGUAGUGCAAAACCCUCCUAGGGGAGGGGAUGUGAAAACCAAAUUGUUACAACGGGAAAUGUACUGGAUUAAGAAACUAAACACUAUGAAUCCAAAAGGCUUGAAUGAGUCUUGGAGCGUAAAAAGUUUCUUAUAAAAAGUUCUUUAUAAACGGUCCUAAUAUGUGCAUUACUCUUCUCUUCCAGAUAUUGAUCAGUAUUAAUAGCCAAGAUAUGUUUGAAAACUUCUAAUGUCACUGUUUUUCCUACUUCCACCUUAAAGACUUAUCGCAAAAAGUAAAGACACACAACAGACACCAUUGAAACGCUUCAAAAGACUUUAUUUGUACCAAACAAAAAUCUGUAUUGGACAUUGUCACGCUUCAGUAUGUUUUUCUAAAUAAUUUUUUCACUAAUCUUUUAGGCAAGGGUUAAUAAUUGGAAAGUUCGUUUCCAUUAUAUUGUGUCACUUCCUGUCUAACACCUUUUAAGUAAUGAUGCACUGAUUGUCUCCACACUUGACAAAGAGCCUUCUAUGGUUCGAAACAUGUAGUGUUGGCAAAUAAACACUGAUGAUUUAGCAGUUAAUCCUGCCUCAGCGCCUAUCUUCUUGUGUUCUAUUUUUUGGUGGAUUACUUAUUUGCACCUACGGCGGAGGUGCCUCACAAGAAGACUGGGCAAUACUAUUUAAAGACUUUUCGGUAUCCAGUCAACCUUGAUUACUAAGUUAAAAAAAAAACAUUGGUGGUAG